rnacentral:rRNA from 1 species
UACAGAGGUCUCAAGCGUUGUUCGGAUUCAUUGGGCGUAAAGGGUGCGUAGGCGGCGCGGUAAGUCGGGUGUGAAAUCUCGGAGCUUAACUCCGAAACUGCAUUCGAUACUGCCGUGCUUGAGGACUGGAGAGGAGACUGGAAUUUACGGUGUAGCGGUGAAAUGCGUAGAUAUCGGUAAGGAAGACCAGUGGCGAAGGCGGGUCUCUGGACAGUUCCUGACGCUGAGGCACAAAGGUCAGGGGAGCAAACGGG